rnacentral:rRNA from 1 species
GACGAACGCUGGCGGCGUGCUUAACACAUGCAAGUCGAGCGGAAAGGCCCUUCGGGGUACUCGAGCGGCGAACGGGUGAGUAACACGUGAGUAACCUGCCCCAGACUUUGGGAUAACCCUCGGAAACGGGGGCUAAUACCGGAUACGACACAGCUUCGCAUGGGGUCUGUGUGGAAAGUUUUUCGGGUUGGGAUGGGCUCGCGGCCUAUCAGCUUGUUGGUGGGGUGAUGGCCUACCAAGGCGACGACGGGUAGCCGGCCUGAGAGGGCGACCGGCCACACUGGGACUGAGACACGGGCCAGACUCCUACGGGAGGCAGCAGUGGGGAAUAUUGCACAAUGGGCGGAAGCCUGAUGCAGCGACGCCGCGUGAGGGAUGACGGCCUUCGGGUUGUAAACCUCUUUCAGCAGGGACGAAGCGUAAGUGACGGUACCUGCAGAAGAAGCGCCGGCCAACUACGUG